rnacentral:tRNA from 1 species
GCUGGUGUGGCUCAAUGGAUAGAGUGUCAGCCUGCAGACUGAAGGGACCCUGGUUUGAUUCCAGUCAAGGGCA